rnacentral:lncRNA from 1 species
UAGCGUUUUUAAAGAAUAAAGAUUUCCAUGUAGGAAACAGCUUUCAAAAGGUUUUCUGUGAUUUUAUAUCGUAGUAUUUCAAAACCUGUUUCUGUGGUUGGAAACAUUUUAACUGAUAGAUGUGGAUUUAUGUUUAAAUGUUGAAUGCAUAAAUGUGAAUCUGUGGUGAAUAGUGUAUGAAUAUAUAUAUAACGGUUGGUUAUUUGUAUGUUCAUUUGUUGUGGUUGUGCCUGGGUGACUUCUUGUACUUGUGCGACGCCGUGCAAAUAAAGGGGAGACUCUGUCCGUGUGAACAGUGGAUUCCCUGUGUUUGUGGCGGAUCUGGCAUACUCUAGGGUCAGGCUUUUCAAAAAAAAAAAAAAAAAAAAUUUCAGACGCUUUUCCGCUAUGUUUUAAACUAAAAGGGACCCCGGGGCGUGACAGGGAGAAACAGAGUAGAGACUCUCAAUUGUUGAGGAUCCGGGAGCAGAUAAAGAGGGGACAGGUAGAGGACUUCGCUAUGGACAGUUCGGGAGUACUGCGGUAUAGGGACCGACUGUGUAUGCUUAUGAAUUCAGAGAUCCGAGAAAAGAUUUUGAGAGAGACUCAUUACUCACUUUAUACGGUUCAUCCC